UUCACGGAAGGACUGCAACUGUGCAGAACAAAAGUUUAAUUUCCAAAGGGCGGCUAUAGCCAAAGCAGGGAAUCGUGUACACGAGAUGGAUUCCUGAGCCUCCCCGGCAUCUGAAAUACGUGGUGCUAAUUGAACAUUAGUGUCAGGACAAGGGAAUGUUCGAGUACCAUUCAAACCCUACACAAAUCACUUUAAAAACCAGGCCAGAUCUGUGCUGUCAGUCCUUUCUGACAUAGUCAGAAUGUCAUCUUCUACCCUCUUUUCUAUUUUAAGCACUGGUGCAAAGAAGGUAUUUUCAUUAACUUCACGUAGAUUUGUCCUUGUUUUUCAGACCCUGUGUGUCAUGUCUCAAUCCCAGCCUGUCUCAGGCUUCCUCUGAGCCAGACUAUUAAUGAUUUAAUGUCUCAUACUUCUUAUUCUCUAGUUGUAUUGUAUUCACAGUCUCCUUAUGUGAUGAGACUUACAACUGGUAUAUGUAUGUGGGUAACUUAUUUAUCUCUUGUACUUACCUUCUCCCUUGGAGUAGGAUAAGAAAGUAACAAUGCAGUACUGCAUCUCAGGAUUUUAAAAAAAUCCCAGGAAUGCAUUAAUUCCUCAAUGACUAGCUUAUAAAAGACCUCAUCUAGGAAAAAAGGAAGGAGCAAAGAUGCAGCUCUCCUUAGGUCUGAGCAGAGAUGGAUCCAUAGAGAUUUAUUUUAUAAAGCCCUAGGGGAUCAAAUCUUUGUCUUUUCUACAGAGCUUUAGUUUACCCCCUGUCCAGCCUUCACACUUGGAACUUAAUGAACCUAGCAGGUACCAGCAGGGAUAUCAGGAAUGGGCUCAGUGCACUUCUGAGGAGAGGUGAGCAGCGGACUGGAGACAGCAGUAGAGGUCAGUGACUGACUAGGCAGACUAUGGCACUUGUGACAGCUGUAGUGCCAAGGAGGAAGCCAGUGCUAGGACAUCACUGACCCCAGGCUGCGUGAGUGGUAGGGGCAACACAGGGAGAGCUAUGUGUCAUUUGAACAUUGCUGUCAUUUGGCCAUUGGCUGUGGCUGUGGUAUGUUGAAAAGUUGUUUCUUCACCUCUCCCAGGCAAAAACUUCUUCCUGAAAAUAUCUGGCUGGGGGAAACCUUCAGCAAGACUUCUACCAUGCAUUGAUCCAAGUUUUCUGUCAUGUAACUUUUUGCUUCUUCUAUCUUGUGCAGGACAGCUUCCCUAAAGUACUUAUUUUUCCUCCUCCAAAUUCCUACAUUACGUACCUACUUGUCUUCAAAAUCCUUGUCAGUAAUUAAGUAGCUUGUAUCUUACAGCUGUGCUUGGUAUGAUAAUUACCCUUCUCUUAGUUUUCCCUGUUGACUGUGUGUUCAUCUAUCAUCUACUACCAUCAGCUCAGAUAGAAUUUGGAGUGGUAUGAAGUACCUCAAACACUGAAGAACCAGCAUUUUGAAGGACCUGCAGGUGCUACCACAAGGCUCCUCAGGAGGGGAAAUCAGGAUAGCACAUCUCAGCAGAUGGGAGCAUAAAUCUGGCUAGGAAGAGAACGCAAGUGAGAAGCAUCUUGAGUCAAUCUCCUCCAAAGAUACUCGCUGAAAAUCUUAAGAAAGGCGCCCAAAACCUGUGCUAUUUGUACUGCUCUGUUUCUGUGGAAACUGUGUGUUGAAGUGGAAUAGAAAAAGCAGGGAAAAGAGAAUGAGAGGUGAAGUGUUUCUGGCUGAAGUCCCGUUGGCCAGUCACAGUUUGAGCUGGGCUUGUUGCCGGGACCACAGUAGGAGAAUGGGUUGACUCAUUCAAAUCCUGCCAAACAGAGUAGAAGGCUUCUCAGUUCUCCUUCAUUUGCUGUCAAGAGACACAUCAGUAGUGGCUACCCCUAGUGUCCUCACAGUAAUUUUGAGACUCAAUAACUGGCAGACAAACCCACUGGCAGCUUCAUUUGAAAUCGGGCAAUUAAUUAAAAAUAUAUCAGAGGGAGACAACCCUUCAUACAAAUCUUGGUUUUUUUUGGAAAAUAUGCAAAAAAUACUAAUAGAAGUCCCACUAAAAAUUAAAACAGGAGUAAAAAAACCAAUUAAGAUAGCUGUAGGGAUGUUUCAUGUGGAUGUUUUAAUUAACUUAGAGUAUGGGAUUGCUUGCACUUAGUAGAAACAAAUAAUUUUCCACUUCAGAAAAAGAAAUUAAGAGAGAGGUUAAAUGA